UGAGGUGUCAUACACAGUGCUGGGAGAUGUUAUCACGUGAUAUUUCAUUCGGUGAUAUCGUCACCCAGCACUGCAAAUGCCCAUCA
rfam:Ornithorhynchus anatinus chromosome X1, whole genome shotgun sequence.